rnacentral:rRNA from 1 species
UACGAAGGGGGCGAGCGUUGUUCGGAUUUACUGGGCGUAAAGGGCGCGCAGGCGGCUCAUUUUGUCAGGCGUGAAAGCCCCGGGCUUAACCUGGGAACUGCGUUUGAUACGGGUGGGCUAGAGUUCGGGAGAGGAGAGUGGAAUUCCCAGUGUAGAGGUGAAAUUCGUAGAUAUCGGGAAGAACACCGGUGGCGAAGGCGGCUCUCUGGACCGAUACUGACGCUGAGGCGCGAAAGCGUGGGGAGCAAACAGG